UACGGAGGGGGCUAGCGUUGUUCGGAAUUACUGGGCGUAAAGCGCGCGUAGGCGGAUCAGCAAGUUGGGGGUGAAAUCCCGGGGCUCAACCUCGGAAUGGCCUUCAAAACUCCUGGUCUUGAGUUCGAGAGAGGUGAGUGGAAUUCCGAGUGUAGAGGUGAAAUUCGUAGAUAUUCGGAGGAACACCAGUGGCGAAGGCGGCUCACUGGCUCGACACUGACGCUGAGGUGCGAAAGCGUGGGGAGCAAACAGG
rnacentral:rRNA from 1 species